AUAAUACUCCAUAGAUUAGAGACACUGGAAUGUUCUUUAGUCGAAAGUUCUGGCGCCUUAGGAUGGAUCUGCGGUCGAUUAGGUUGUUGCUGGGGUAACGGCCCAACAAGCCUGUAAUCGAUACGGGUUGUGGGAGCAAGAGCCCGGAGAUGGAAUCUGAGACACGAUUCCAGGCCCUACGGGGCGCAGCAGGCGCGAAAACUUUACAAUGCAGGAAACUGUGAUAAGGGAACUCCGAGUGCCCGUAUACGCGGGCUGUCCAGGUGUUUAAAAAUCAUCUGAAGAAAGGGCCGGGCAAGACCGGUGCCAGCCGCCGCGGUAAUACCGGCGGCUCGAGUGGUGGCCACUAUUAUUGGGCUUAAAGCGUCCGUAGCUGGACCGAUAAGUCUCUUGGGAAAUCCGCCGGCUCAACCGGCGGGCGUCUAAGGGGUACUGUUAGUCUAGGGACCGGGAGAGGUGAGAGGUACUCCGGGGGUAGGAGUGAAAUCCUGUAAUCCCCGGGGGACCACCGAUGGCGAAGGCAUCUCACCAGAACGGCUCCGACAGUGAGGGACGAAAGCUGGGGGAGCGAACCGGAUUAGAUACCCGGGUAGUCCCAGCCGUAAACUAUGCGCGUUAGGUGU
rnacentral:rRNA from 1 species